UACGUAGGGUGCAAGCGUUAAUCGGAAUUACUGGGCGUAAAGCGUGCGCAGGCGGUGAUGUAAGACAGAUGUGAAAUCCCCGGGCUCAACCUGGGAACUGCAUUUGUGACUGCAUCGCUGGAGUGCGGCAGAGGGGGAUGGAAUUCCGCGUGUAGCAGUGAAAUGCGUAGAUAUGCGGAGGAACACCGAUGGCGAAGGACAAUCCCCUGGGCCUGCACUGACGCUCAUGCACGAAAGCGUGGGGAGCAAACAGG
rnacentral:rRNA from 1 species